rnacentral:rRNA from 1 species
GACGAACCGAGCGAACGUUGUUCGGAAUCACUGGGCUUAAAGCGCGUGUAGGUGGGUCGUUAAGUGUCCGCGUGAAAUCCCACGGCUCAACCGUGGAACUGCCGGGCAUACUGGCGAUCUUGAGGCAUUCAGGGGCGAGCGGAACAAAUGGUGGAGCGGUGAAAUGCGUAGAUAUCAUUUGGAACGCCAAUGGUGAAAACAGGUAGCUGGGGCUGUGCUGACGCUGAGACACGGAAAGCCAGGGGAACAAACGGG